GACGGAGGAUGCAAGCGUUAUCCGGAAUGAUUGGGCGUAAAGCGUCCGCAGGUGGCAGUUCAAGUCUGCUGUCAAAGACCGGGGCUUAACUUCGGAAAGGCAGUGGAAACUGAACAGCUAGAGUAUGGUAGGGGCAGAGGGAAUUCCUGGUGUAGCGGUGAAAUGCGUAGAGAUCAGGAAGAACAUCGGUGGCGAAGGCGCUCUGCUGGACCAUAACUGACACUGAGGGACGAAAAGCUAGGGGGAGCGAAUGGG
rnacentral:rRNA from 1 species